rnacentral:rRNA from 1 species
UACGGAGGGUGCAAGCGUUAUCCGGAUUCACUGGGUUUAAAGGGUGCGUAGGUGGGUCUGUAAGUCAGUGGUGAAAUCUCCAAGCUUAACUUGGAAACUGCCGUUGAUACUAUAGACCUUGAAUGCUGUGGAGGUGAGCGGAACUUAGGGUGGAGCGGUGAAAUGCGUUGAUAUCCUAAGGAACACCGGUGGCGAAAGCGGCUCACUGGACCUCUUCUGACGCUGAGGCACGAAAGCUAGGGUAGCAAACGGG